UGGGGAAUAUUGCACAAUGGGCGCAAGCCUGAUGCAGCCAUGCCGCGUGUAUGAAGAAGGCCUUCGGGUUGUAAAGUACUUUCAGCGGGGAGGAAGGCGAUAAGGUUAAUAACCUUGUCGAUUGACGUUACCCGCAGAAGAAGCACCGGCUAACUCCGUGCCAGCAGCCGCGGUAAUACGGAGGGCGCAAGCGUUAAUCGGAAUUACUGGGCGUAAAGCGCACGCAGGCGGUCUGUCAAGUCGGAUGUGAAAUCCCCGGGCUCAACCUGGGAACUGCAUUCGAAACUGGCAGGCUAGAGUUUUGUAGAGGGGGGUAGAAUUCCAGGUGUAGCGGUGAAAUGCGUAGAGAUCUGGAGGAAUACCGGUGGCGAAGGCGGCCCCCUGGACAAAGACUGACGCUCAGGUGCGAAAGCGUGGGGAGCAAACA
rnacentral:rRNA from 1 species